CCUACGGGAGGCAGCAGUGAGGAAUAUUGGUCAAUGGACGAGAGUCUGAACCAGCCAAGUAGCGUGAAGGAUGACUGCCCUAUGGGUUGUAAACUUCUUUUAUAAAGGAAUAAAACGAGGCACGUGUGCCUUUUUGCAUGUACUUUAUGAAUAAGGAUCGGCUAACUCCGUGCCAGCCGCCGCGGUAAUACGGAGGAUCCGAGCGUUAUCCGGAUUUAUUGGGUUUAAAGGGAGCGUAGAUGGGUUGUUAAGUCAGUUGUGAAAGUUUGCGGUUCAACCGUAAAAUUGCAAUUGAUACUGGCAGUCUUGAGUACAGUUGAGGUAGGCGGAAUUCGUGGUGUAGCGGUGAAAUGCUUAGAUAUCACGAAGAACCCCGAUUGCGAAGGCAGCUUACUAAACUGUGACUGACAUUGAUGCUCGAAAGUGUGGGUAUCAAACAGGAUUAGAUACCCUUGUAGUC
rnacentral:rRNA from 1 species